UAGGGAAUCUUCGGCAAUGGGGGCAACCCUGACCGAGCAACGCCGCGUGAGUGAAGAAGGUUUUCGGAUCGUAAAGCUCUGUUGUAAGAGAAGAACGUGUGUGAGAGUGGAAAGUUCACACAGUGACGGUAACUUACCAGAAAGGGACGGCUAACUACGUGCCAGCAGCCGCGGUAAUACGUAGGUCCCGAGCGUUGUCCGGAUUUAUUGGGCGUAAAGCGAGCGCAGGCGGUUUAAUAAGUCUGAAGUUAAAGGCAGUGGCUUAACCAUUAUUCGCUUUGGAAACUGUUAAACGUGAGUGCAGAAGGGGGGAGUGGAAUUCCAUGUGUAGCGGAGAAAUGCGUAGAUAUAUGGAGGAACACCGGUGGCGAAAGCGGCUCUCUGGUCUGUGACUGACACUGAGGCUCUAAAGCGUGGGGAGCAAACAGG
rnacentral:rRNA from 1 species